CCUACGGGAGGCAGCAGUCGAGAAUCAUUCACAAUGGGGGAAACCCUGAUGGGGCGACGCCGCGUGGGGGAAUGAAGGUCUGCGGAUUGUAAACCCCUGUCAUGUGGGAGCAAAUUAAAAAGAUAGUACCACAAGAGGAAGAGACGGCUAACUCUGGGCCAGCAGCCGCGGUAAGACAGAGGUCUCAAGCGUUGUUCGGAAUCCCUGGGCGUAAAGCGUGCGUAGGCGGUUUCGUAAGUCGUGUGUGAAAGGCGCGGGCUCCACCCGCGGACGUCACAUGAUACUGCGAGACUAGAGUAAUGGAGGGGGAACCGGAAUUCUCGGUGUAGCCGU
rnacentral:rRNA from 1 species